AUUGAACGCUGGCGGCAUGCCUAACACAUGCAAGUCGAACGGAAGCAGGGUGCUUGCUCCUGGUUACAGCGGCGGACGGGUGAGUAAUGCCGAAGAAUCUCCCAUCUUGGGGGGUAUAACGUCGGAAGACGGGCGCUUAUACCGCACGAUCUCAGACGGAGAACGUGGGGGAUCUUCGGAUCUCCCGCUCUCAGCUGAGCCUAGGUCGGAUUAGCGAGUUGGUGGGGUAAAGGCCUACCAAGGCGACGAUGCGUAACUGGUCUGAGAGGAUGAUCAGCCACACUGGAACUGAGACACGGUCCAGACUCCUACGGGAGGCAGCAGUGGGGAAUAUUGGACAAUGGGCGAAAGCCUGAUCCAGCCAUGCCGCGUGUGUGAAGAAGGUCUUCGGAUUGUAAAGCACUUUUGGUUGGGAGGAAAAGCAGUAGGUUAAUACAUAGCUGUUUUGACGGUACCAAAAGAAUAAGCACCGGCUAACUUCGUG
rnacentral:rRNA from 1 species